rnacentral:tRNA from 1 species
AGCUCAGAGGUAAAGCGUCUGCCUGCAAUGCAGAAGACCUGGGUUCAAUCUCUG